CAGAAAAUAGUUUAUAAAACAUUAACUUUGGAAGUUAAAGAUCGGGAUUAAUCCUGUUUUCUGA
rnacentral:tRNA from 1 species